AGAGUUUGAUCCUGGCUCAGGACGAACGCUGGCGGCGUGCCUAACACAUGCAAGUCGAGCGAGAAAGCCCCUUCGGGGGUUAGUAAAGCGGCGGACGGGUGAGUAACACGUGAGCGAUCUACCCAAGGGUGGGGGACAACUCAGGGAAACUUGAGCUAAUACCGCGUACAGCGCCGGCUUGGAAGCCUGGCGUGAAAGCUGGCCUCUACUUGUAAGCUAGCGCCUUUGGAUGAGCUCGCGGCCUAUCAGCUUGUUGGUGGGGUAAUGGCCUACCAAGGCGAUGACGGGUAGCUGGCGUGAGAGCGCGACCAGCCACACUGGGACUGAGACACGGCCCAGACUCCUACGGGAGGCAGCAGUGGGGAAUAUUGCGCAAUGGGCGAAAGCCUGACGCAGCGACGCCGCGUGGGGGAGGAAGGCCUCAGGGUUGUAAACCCCUGUCAGGUGGGACGAAACCCGUAGUGUCUAAUAGGCAUUACGAUUGACGGUACCACCAGAGGAAGCUCCGGCUAACUCCGUGCCAGCAGCCGCGGUAAUACGGGGGGAGCAAGCGUUGUUCGGAAUUACUGGGCGUAAAGGGCGCGUAGGCGGCCAGGUCAGUCGCAUGUGAAAGGCCGGGGCUCAACCCCGAGCACUGCAUGCGAUACUGCCUGGCUCGAGAGAGGUAGGGGCGAGUGGAAUUCCCGGUGUAGCGGUGGA
rnacentral:rRNA from 1 species